UGGCUGCCUCGUGAGGCGGCCUGCCGGCGAAGACAAUGUCGUGGGUCUUGAGGAACUGCUCGGCGGCUUCCGGUGACGAGACGACGAUGUUAGGGACGAAGCCGAAGCGCAGGUACAUGAUGGGGCCGUGUUUCUUGGCCAGCCGGUGCAGAUCCUGGUGUGGAAGCUUCCCCAACAAGUGAAAAUGGCCCAGAAUUGGGAGAGGUUUUGGACCUGGAGGCAAUCUGUUGUUCUUCUUGUUCCGCCUGAGCCAGGCUGCUGCUUGCAGGAGGUAGGCAAGUGCAAGCACUGCCACUGCCAGAGCUAUUCCCCAUGACCAUCCCAUAGCUGGAUUCAUCUAUAUAUGGUUUGAUAUAUCACUCUUCGAUCAGUACUAGUAACUGAUGAGGGUGUUCGAUCGAAG